AGAGUUUGAUCCUGGCUCAGGAUGAACGCUAGCUACAGGCUUAACACAUGCAAGUCAGGGGCAGCAUGAUCUGUGCUUGCACAGUUUGAUGGCGACCGGCGCACGGGUGAGUAACGCGUAUCCAACUUCCCCCUGGUAGGGAACCAGCCCGGCGAAAGUCGGAUUAAUGCCCUAUGUUCUCCUUUGAAGGCAUCUGAUUGGGAGGAAAGAUUUAUCGCCACGGGAUGGGGAUGCGUCCGAUUAGGCAGCAGGCGGGGCAACGGCCCACCUGGCCUUCGAUCGGUAGGGGUUCUGAGAGGAAGGUCCCCCACAUUGGAACUGAGACACGGUCCAAACUCCUACGGGAGGCAGCAGUGAGGAAUAUUGGUCAAUGGGCGGGAGCCUGAACCAGCCAAGUAGCGUGCGGGAUGACGGCCCUACGGGUUGUAAACCGCUUUUGUACGGGAAUAAAGUCGCCCACGUGUGGGUGUUUGCAUGUACCGUAAGAAUAAGGACCGGCUAAUUCCGUGCC
rnacentral:rRNA from 1 species